rnacentral:tRNA from 1 species
GGGGUUGUGGCUCAGUGGUAGAGCGCUCACCUGGUGUGUGUGAGGCCUUGGGUUCUAUCCUCAGCACCA